CUUUCUGGAUUUAUUAGUUUAAUAGGGGCUUCUGUCUGUGUUGUGAUAGAGAGUUUCUUUGUGCUUAGUGGUCGUGUUCAGAUGUGUUCUGUUAAUCUGAGAGAGGAAGCAGAGGUGGGAGGUAGCCUUGCAGUCUACACAGAUGUAGUUUGGAUAGCUAACAAUCUUCCAGAGCCACCCAAAGGAUUAGAACUGGUGCCAACAAUCCAGCACCAGAGGCAGCCCAUUUGCCACGCGGCUUAUAAUAAUGAUUUCAAUGAAGUUCAGCACCUUCUGGAGAAAAACAGCAACUAUCUGAAUGUCCAGGACAGAUUUAGUGGAGAUACACCCUUGAUUUGUGCAUGCAAACGGGGCAACAGCAGAAUAGUUAGCUAUCUUCUACAAAGAAAUGCUGAUGUCAACCUCAGGAACAAGAAGGAACGCACUUGCCUGCAUUAUGCUGUGAGAAAACGGUUUAGUUUCCUUGACUAUGUGCUCAUCAUCAUCCUCAUGCCGGUUAUGCUUAUUGGAUAUCUUCUUAUGAUCUCGAAAACUAAACAGAAUGAAAACUUGAUUAAGAUGUUGCUGAGGGCUGGUGUCAAUGUUAAUGCUGCAGACUUCUCUGGUAGCACAGCCCUUCACUAUGCUUGUGAAAUGAAAAACCUGGCAGUUGUUUCUCUACUGCUUGAAGCUCAUGCAGACCCUUCUGUUAAGAAUCAGGAGGGGGAGACUCCUUUGGAUAUAGCCAGAAGAUUACAGUUCAGCAACAUUGAAAGCAUGCUGAAGAAAACUUCUUAGUGCUUGAUGAUAUUCUAUAAAGGGCUCUGGAACAUGAAAAAACAUUUUCCAGUCUGGCAAGCUGUCUUGCACAGCAGCAGCAGGAGUCCUGUUAUAGGCUGAUGUAUUUGUCAGAGGCCUUGUCCAAACCCAUCUGCUCUUUGCUGAAGACUUUAACUGCUUUGUGUGUUGGAGAGCUGUCAGGAUUCCAAGGCCAUUUGGCUGUAAGACUUGAUGUACAGCAAAAGUCUCAAGCAUGGGCUCAAAUCCUCUGCCAGAAGAACUAGAAUUAACACCAGGGUUAAGCUCCACUUGCUCAGCUAUACUGAUCAGUACUGCUGAGGGGGCACCAAGCAGAACUGGAAAGUAUGGACCUAGGAGCUAGUCAGCCUUGGGACGAGGCAGGUACUCAGCCUGGUGUGGUACAGCUCCAUCCCCAGAAGAUCAGGGGAGAAGCGACACGUUGGGUUCUCUCUGGCAGCCGCCAGGCUCCCUAUCGCAGCGCAGGGGAGCGUGGCCCGCCGCACUGUCCCAUGCGUGUGACACCUUUCCCCCGCGCUCAGCUGCAGCACAGGCAGAAUCUUAGGUGUCUGCUGCCUGUGGGACAUUGGACAAGAUGAAGAGUUUAUCAAGGAGCAUACCCAAGGACCCAGUACUCAGUUCGUUGAUACCAUGAGAAGAAAGUAUUCAAACAUGGGUACAUAGGGCCAUUUGAGACACCCUUGAGUACCCUGUCUACCUCUAGGAAUUGUGCUAGGCUGUGAGUGUAUUUGGAUCAUGUUUGGAGGAACCUUACCUGUUAAAGAUAUUUUUUAACAAAGCUAUUAACGCAAAAUGACUGGACUUGCAGUAUCCUU